UUUUUUAUUUUGGUUUUUAUAGUAGGUUCCUACUCAUCAUAAAGCUUUCUAGGGAUAGAAACUUCCAAUUCAUGUUUCUCUGCAAGAGAUUUUAUCAUAGCUUUUAUGAUAUGAUCGGUAAAGGCCUUGUUUUGGCUAUAAGCGUGUCGAGAGUUUAGCAUGGUUUGCAUCAAGGAAAUGCAUUCAAUAAAGGAGCAACUAUCGUAAUUGAAUUCCUUGAAAUCCAAAG
rnacentral:lncRNA from 1 species